rnacentral:lncRNA from 1 species
UUCUUUAUAUUCCAUAUAUUUUUUAAUUCAUUUUAUUCUUCUAAAUGUGAAACUAGGAUUUGCAUCACAAUCAACAUUAAUGUUAGUUUCAUUCCAUGUGCAAUUUUUCUGUCAUUAUAUUCGUGAGACCAAGUUUAUAUCACUAUCAAUAUCAAUGUAUCUUUCAUUCCAUGUGCAGAAAUUAAUGAAUAAAAAAUGUGUGAGUUGGUUUUUGGGAGAAAUCAAUUGUAACAAGAACCCUAUAUCCUAGGCAUCCCUCUCCUGUCUUGUCUCUAU